rfam:Picea glauca, whole genome shotgun sequence.
AUGUAAUGUAAUGCCUACAAUGUUAAUGCACCAAAUCCCAUUAGAACUUCGUAAUUAAGCACAGUUGGGAUAGGAUUGUACUGGGAUGGGUGACCUAUCGGGAAGUCCUAGUGUUUUACUUG